rnacentral:miRNA from 1 species
GUCAUUGCUGUUUUUGAAUAGCUGGAGGGUUAGUGUCGUACCUUACUAUGUGACUACCCUCCAGCUAUUCAAAAACAGCAUUA